CUCUUACAGAUGGCACAGGAACAGUGGCAUCACAGAGCCUCGUGAUAGAUGAGCCGGUACUGGACCUGAGGCCGGUCUGGCGGAGGGAGGGAUGUUGGCAGCGCAGGAGCCUCCGGGAACGGUGCGUCCGACAGCACUUUCAGGUGAGGAGUCACCUUGUGGCCGAAGGAGCAGUCGCUCCUUCUGCCACUUCAGCAGCUCCUUCUGCUCUCCCUGCUGGCAGUACUGGAACAGCAGCCACACCAGCCAGCCGACAUCAUUCUCCACAAGCCACCUGAAGGUCUGACCGGCGUACUACCCGAACGUGAUGACCAGCUGACCUUUCCACAGCUCAGCCCCCGACCUCUUGGCAGCCGCCUCUGCUGUCUUGAGAUCCAGCCAUUUAGGGUCAACAACAGUGCUGCUGCGGGCCUCUGCCACAGACCUUGCUGCCUCUGUACAGUACAGCCUGGCCUCUCCUUGCCGGUACAAAAUGAUGUUGGGGUACUGGUGUAGCUGUUGAUGGCUGACCAGCGAUGGUUUAGUGGCCAAGCUCUUCCCGCAGACAUCACAGGUAAAGGUCUCCCUGGCGAUGGCAUGGAUCUGGAAUAACACUACUGUUUACCAGGUAUGCAGCGCAUCCCAUGCAACAAGAGAUUAACACGGUCGCCAAAUUGCUUUAUGUUACACUUACUCUCGCAUCAGCUGUUGUCUAAACAGUCACAUUUACCCAAAUCAACACAUAUCCACAUCAAAUUGUCCAAGAAAACGUUUGCAGGUAUGCGACGUAUGCCCUUACUCAUUGUAAACAGUGUCGUUAGCCGCGCCUAGCUAUCGUUACAAAACACACAUUAAUCAGCUUAUUAUUUCAACGACCCCUGGGUACAUAUAGUCAUGCCAUACACCGUUGGAAAGCUUAGAUUACCCCGAUUAAAAGGAGACCACCCACGAGUAAUAUGGUUGCUCGCAGACAAAACGGCGAUAGGUUGACUGAAGUCUACCCUGCAGCUAAAAACGCACCCUCUACGUCUUCCCUUUAUACACAACGACCGUGUUAUGACAAGGUCGAAAUCUUUUCUCUUUCUACAAAAUCGAAACAGCUUAAUACAAACCUUAAAAAAAGGUCGAAUUAUUAACUAGCAAACGGUGAAGGGGAUACAAUUUACCUGAGUGAAACCACGUGCUGUAAGCUAUUUUCUUUUUCAACUCGAGCUCAUUGGCUGCAAUAGAGUUCCGGGUGUUGACGUUGUUGGGGCGGGGAAAUCGUGGGCACCACCAUUUUGGCAGUAUUCGAUAGUAUUGUUGGUUUAUUUAUUUUUUAACAUUUUUUUGGUGAAGCACUGCUUCACCUGUAGUCUUAUAGAAGCCUCCACUGCUCCAAACUCUAUUUGUGAAACAUGCAGACGGCCUAGUGACACUGCCAGCAGGCAGCAGCAAAGAGAUGUAGCGACCUCGGUUUAUUUCUUCAGCUUUCACAUACACACAAACACGCACACAGGGUGCUUGGUCAUUCUUUUGUUUUGUUUUUUCGUUGUCUGUUAAACCGCCACGUGGGGCGACGUGUCUGGGAACCUCGCCUCUUGGUCUGAGCAUGUGUGGCCAUCGCUUCUCGGCCUUUUGGCUAAGAUCAAGUGUAGUAUCUGUUCUUAUCAGUUUAAUAUCUGAUACGUCCCCUACCCGGGGACCAUAUAUUAAAUUGAUUUUUGGAACUG